rnacentral:rRNA from 1 species
AUCCGGUACGAGGACAGUGUCAGGUGGGCAGUUUGACUGGGGCGGUCGCCUCCUAAAGAGUAACGGAGGCGCCCCAAGGGUCCCUCAGAAUGGUUGGAAAUCAUUCGAAGAGUGCAAAGGCAGAAGGGAGCUUGACUGCGAGACCUACAAGUCGAGCAGGGACGAAAGUCGGGCUUAGUGAUCCGGUGGUACCGCAUGGAAGGGCCA